AGCAGACAAACAAUGUUCGUAACUAUAUUACUGGAUGUGCUUUUCAUGGGUAGGUUUGAUGUGGUGGUAAAUGGUGAAUGCUCUCUAAGUCUUCACAAUAACAAACGAGAGAAUAGGUAGCAGGAUCCUGUGUGCGACAGAGAUAUGUUACUUCUUGAAAAAGUACAUAAACGAGAAUUCUCAACCAGGGACAAUCAGAGGUUGAAUUGGAGCUGAGGUCGUAAGAAGCAUUUGAAAUAUAUCCUC